rnacentral:piRNA from 1 species
UCAUCUUCUAAGGAAAUGGUUUGGACAGC